rnacentral:misc_RNA from 1 species
GAUCAUUACUGAUUUGCUUAAUUGCACCACAUGUGUUUUUCUUUGAAACAAACUUGCUUUGGCGGUGGGCCCAGCCUGCCGCCAGAGGUCUAAACUUACAACCAAUUUUUUAUCAACUUGUCACACCAGAUUAUUACUUAAUAGUCAAAACUUUCAACAACGGAUCUCUUGGUUCUCGCAUCGAUGAAGAACGCAGCGAAAUGCGAUACGUAAUAUGAAUUGCAGAUAUUCGUGAAUCAUCGAAUCUUUGAACGCACAUUGCGCCCUCUGGUAUUCCGGAGGGCAUGCCUGUUUGAGCGUCGUUUCUCCCUCAAACCGCUGGGUUUGGUGUUGAGCAAUACGACUUGGGUUUGCUUGAAAGACGGUAGUGGUAAGGCGGGAUCGCUUUGACAAUGGCUUAGGUCUAACCAAAAACAUUGCUUGCGGCGGCAACGUCUACCACGUAUAUCUUCAAACUUUGACCUCAAAUCAGGUAGGACUACCCGCUGAACUUAAGCAUAUCAAUAAGCGGAAGGAA